CAGGUUGCAUCUCAUACAUAGAACAUAAUCCACCUGUGUGCACCUUCCUCCACUCUUAUACGUCACCCUGUGAUCCUCCUUCUUCUCAAAAUUUAAGACGUGCUGGACAAGUGAUGAAUGUGUCCUGAAACUUGGUCUUGACUAGAUUAAAAGCCACCUGAAACUACAAAUGGAAGUGCAUAAAAGUGAGACCUCACAUUCCUCAGAAGAUGAUGACUUUUUUUCAGCGAUGAAAAAAAAGUUCCACUCUCGAGAUGACACCAGCCUGCUAGAGACCUACCUCAACUGUCCCUCUGACACUUGGGAGAUACUAAAGUCUUUCUCUGCACUCUGUCACUUGUCAUUGAGGUUUAACACUCCGCUUCCAGCCUCAGCUGCCUGUGAGUGAAUGUUCAGUACUGCAGCACUGAUUCUUACACCAAAAAGAGCAUGUAUGGAUUCCAAGAACUUUGAAAAUCAACUGCUUCUCAAGCUAAACAGAGACUUUUGUUAAUAAGGUUAUGGCUUAAUGCCAAGUUUAUAAAACUUGAGGCUAAGACGAAGGCUCUGAUUGAUUGUUGUUUAUGCCUUGCCUUAAAAUUCCUUGCCUCAGUUUUUGGAGUGGAUAAAGUUUUUCCCCUACAGUUUUGUUUGUUUAUAUAAGGGAUGCUGCCACAUGGUGCUAUUUUGUUUUAAUAAUAUGUUCGUAAUAUUCCUCAUUUCCAUAAUAUAUAACUGUUAUCUGAAAUCUGAUUCAGUCAGAGUUCUAUAGUUUCUCUAUGCUGUAAAACUGCUAUAGAGGUAGUAUAAAGUAUAAAUUAAUCAUUUUUCUUCUCAAAAUGUUCCUGUUUCAAUGUCAAUAAAAUGCACAGGUUAACUCAC